CCCCCCCGGGCCGAGGGAGCCGGAGUCGAAGGGGGGCAGCGGCUCCGCAGCGGCCAGAGCCCGGCCCGUCGGGGCGCCUGUGCGCACCCACCGGCCGUGUGCGGAGUUUUUCGGGUGAACCCCGUUUCGGAAGCCCGGUGCCCGCCUACCUGUGCGAGCCUCUCCGCAGCCGUGCAGAAGCCGUGGGAAGCGGGCGGCCCCCGCCUCGGCUCGCCCGGGGGGGCGCAGAGCAAAGCCGGGGCUUCCUUUGCAGGGCAUUCGUUUCAAACGAAUUUGGGAACGUCGGUGGCGGGUCCGUAAAGCCCCCCUGCGCCAGUCUCCCUCCCCCCCGAGCAGAAUUAGCACUCGGCCGCUCAACGCCCUGCCGCUGGCCGAUUCCUGCGGGAUUCAACCCGUGCUUGUUUGGAAACGAUUGCGUCCCGCUCUCCGCGCUUCCCGCUCAGCCGCAGCGGAGGAUGGGGCGCAGCUGGGGCCGCAGCGGACGGCCGCGGGGUGGGAGAGAGGAUCUGCUUCAAAAAUGCUCCUCCGAACAGACACGGCGAGGGAAGCACAGAUCCCGUCUCCCACCCCCGGGAAGCACGGAUCCCCUCUCCCAUCCCCGACCUCUGUGCUUACUCCGGGCGACUUUCGGAAGGGAGAAUCCGGCGCCGUCCCGCUCCCCUCGGCGGCCGGGGCCGUAGCAAAAGACAAAAGAGCUGCAGAGGUCUGGGCUCCCCUCCCGCCUCCGUGCUACCGCGUUCUGUCGCUGCACGUUUAUCGGGGAUCUACCUGACUCCGCUUCCUCUCCUUCCGUCUCAGAACCACAGCGGCGGAGGCUGAAUGGGAGCAGCUGUUCGCCCUAGCCGGAAAGGAGAUGUCAAAACCUGUUGCGUGGACGGAGCUCUGAGAAAAUCUCUUCUUAGCUCCCUAAAAUCAUUCUGAAACAUAUACACUUUUGGAUGAGGGUGUUAUGUUCAUGUUUAUUUUCAAGUGGAAGGUUGGCAGCAGCAUUUGGCAUGCAUGGAAGAAGUCUGGGAUCUGGGCCUUAUAGUCAUCGUAAAGAAGUGAGCUUCAGCUUCCAAGAGAAGAAAGUAAAGAGGUAUAAUUGGAAGGGUCAGAUUUGCCCAAGGGGAAGCAAACAGUGGAUUUUCAGAAAGGCAAUACCAGCCUCCACAGCCUCACGUGGCUCUGCAGAAGGACUGAGAAAAAGCAAAGAGUGUUUUGGACUUCUGGGGAGCACGUUUUUUUUUCUAUUGCUCCACAAACUCACACUGACAGUACUUGACUGUCCCUCAGGUGAAGUACUGUAG
rnacentral:lncRNA from 1 species